rnacentral:rRNA from 1 species
GUCCAGACUCCUACGGGAGGCAGCAGUGGGGAAUAUUGCACAAUGGGGGAAACCCUGAUGCAGCGACGCCGCGUGAGUGAAGAAGUAUUUCGGUAUGUAAAGCUCUAUCAGCAGGGAAGAAAAUGACGGUACCUGAUUAAGAAGCCCCGGCUAACUACGUGCCAGCAGCCGCGGUAAUACGUAGGGGGCAAGCGUUAUCCGGAUUUACUGGGUGUAAAGGGAGCGUAGACGGCAUGGCAAGUCUGAAGUGAAAGCCCGGGGCUCAACCGCGGGACUGCUUUGGAAACUGUUAAGCUGGAGUGCAGGAGAGGUGAGUGGAAUUCCUAGUGUAGCGGUGAAAUGCGUAGAUAUUAGGAGGAACACCAGUGGCGAAGGCGGCUUACUGGACUGUAACUGACGUUGAGGCUCGAAAGCGUGGGGAGCAAACAGGAUUAGAUACCCGUGUACUG